GGCGGGUUAGCGUAAUGGUUAACGCGUCAGUUUCCGGCCGUGUAAUGUUAGCUGAAGAUUCCGGGUUCGAGUCCCGGGCCUGUCG